rnacentral:rRNA from 1 species
AUUGAACGCUAGCGGGAUGCCUUACACAUGCAAGUCGAACGGAGUGGCGAACGGGGGAGCAAGGAAUCGGAACGUGCCCAGUAGCGGGGGAUAACUACGCGAAAGCGUAGCUAAUACCGCAUACUAUUGGCGCGGCCGAUAUCGGAUUAGCUAGUUGGGGGGGUAACGGCUCACCAAGGCGACGAUCCGUAGCUGGUUUGAGAGGACGACCAGCCACACUGGGACUGAGACACGGCCCAGACUCCUACGGAGGCAGCAGUGGGGAAUUUUGGACAAGGGGGGAAACCCUGAUCCAGCCCUCCCGCGUAUGCGAUGAAGGCCUUCGGUUUGUAAAGCACUUUUGGCAGGAAAGCGGUACCUGCAGCUUCCGCCCCGGCUAACUACGUGCCAGCAGCCGCGGUCCUCC